rnacentral:rRNA from 1 species
GUAUCUCUGUAGAGUCUGCAUAUCAAUAAGCGGAGGAAAAGAAACUAACAAGGAUUCCCUUAGUAACGGCGAGUGAAGCGGGAAGAGCUCAAAUUUGAAAUCUUCAAGGUUCUACCUUGACGAAUUGUAGUUUAUAGAAGUGUUUUCUGUUAGUGGAGUGGCAAAAGUUCUUUGGAAUAGGACAUCAUAGAGGGUGAGAAUCCCGUAUUUGGCCAUUCCUCCUAGCGUUGUGAUACACUUUCAACGAGUCGGAUUGUUUGGGAAUGCAGUCCAAAAUGGGUGGUAAAUUUCAUCUAAAGCUAAAUAUUGGCGAGAGACCGAUAGCGAACAAGUACCGUGAGGGAAAGAUGAAAAGAACUUUGAAAAGAGAGUUAAACAGUACGUGAAAUUGUCAAAAGGGAAGCGUUUGACACCAGUGUUGUUUUUUCCGAAAAUCAAUUACGAAUGUUUUAUUUUUGAGGAGUUAUGACUUCAUCGGCUUGCUCCUUUCUUUAUGAAACUUUCUUAAUGCACUUUUCGGUUAACAAGUCAACAUCAAUUUCCUUUUGUUGUAAAAGGGUAUGAGGAAGGUGGCUUUCUUUUCGGAGAAAGUGUUUAUAGCCUUGUGCCUCUGCAAUCGGAGAGAUUGAGGUCUGCAGCGUAGAUCCUUCGGGGUUAGAUACGUUUGUGCUAAGUUAUAGCUUUUCAUAGACAACUUGUUGACUAUGUUUAGUCUUGUAGCUUACUCGCUGACGCUAUUUUACCUACGCUUAGGAUGUUGACGCAUGAGAUAUACGC